UACGUAGGGUGCAAGCGUUAAUCGGAAUUACUGGGCGUAAAGCGUGCGAAGGCGGUAAUGUAAGACAGUUGUGAAAUCCCCGGGCUCAACCUGGGAACUGCAUCUGUGACUGCAUUGCUGGAGUACGGCAGAGGGGGAUGGAAUUCCGCGUGUAGCAGUGAAAUGCGUAGAUAUCAGGAGGAACACCGAUGGCGAAGGCAGGUCUCUGGGCUGACACUGACGCUCAUGCACGAAAGCGUGGGGAGCAAACAGG
rnacentral:rRNA from 1 species